rnacentral:rRNA from 1 species
AUUGAACGCUGGCGGCAUGCUUUACACAUGCAAGUCGAACGGUAACAGGGAGCUUGCUCCGCUGACGAGUGGCGAACGGGUGAGUAAUGCGUCGGAACGUGCCGAGUAGUGGGGGAUAACGCAUCGAAAGGUGUGCUAAUACCGCAUACGUACUGAGGUAGAAAGUGGGGGACCUUCGGGCCUCACGCUAUUCGAGCGGCCGACGUCUGAUUAGCUAGUUGGUGAGGUAAAGGCUCACCAAGGUGACGAUCAGUAGCGGGUCUGAGAGGAUGAUCCGCCACACUGGGACUGAGACACGGCCCAGACUCCUACGGGAGGCAGCAGUGGGGAAUUUUGGACAAUGGGCGCAAGCCUGAUCCAGCCAUGCCGCGUGUCUGAAGAAGGCCUUCGGGUUGUAAAGGACUUUUGUCCGGGAGCAAAUGCUGGUGGCUGACAUCCACCGGAGCUGAGAGUACCGGAAGAAUAAGCACCGGCUAACUACGUGCCAGCAGCCGCAGUAACAC